AUUAAAUAAAUAAAUAAACAAUAAGGUUUUAGGUUUCAAUUAAUUUUCAAAUUCCAGAUUUUAGUUCUAGGGCUUCUCAGCCUUUCUCUUUCCCUAUUUCUGCCGCACCCUUUCCUCCUACCCACACCCGCCGCCUCGCCGGCGCCACCCCUUCUGUGCCGAGCCUUGCCGCCCCCAGGCCCCAGCCUCACCGCGAAGUCGUCGCCCAGGCCCCAGCCUCGCCGAGAAGUAGUCGCCCAGCCCCAACCUCACCGCGAAGUCGUCGUCCAGCCCCAGCCUCGCCGCGAAGUAAUCGCCGAGCCCCAGCCUCGCCGCGAAUCGAUCAAGCUCUGAAUCUGAGGAUUGCGACCGGUUUAUGCAUUCCAGAUUUGUGCCCUCUUCAUUAUAGUUUAAUUUUCAUU
rnacentral:lncRNA from 1 species